rnacentral:rRNA from 1 species
UACAGAGGUCUCAAGCGUUGUUCGGAUUCAUUGGGCGUAAAGGGUGCGUAGGCGGUCUGUUGCGUCCGCUGUGAAAACUCGGGGCUUAACCCCGAGCCUGCAGUGGAUACGGGCAGACUAGAGGUAGGUAGGGGAGAACGGAAUUCCUGGUGUAGCGGUGAAAUGCGCAGAUAUCAGGAGGAACACCGGUGGCGAAGGCGGUUCUCUGGGCCUGUUCUGACGCUGAGGAGCGAAAGCGUGGGGAGCGAACAGG